rnacentral:tRNA from 1 species
GUGUUAACUUAAGCUUAAAGUGUCAAAUUUUUAAUUUGGAAAUGUAUUUUGCACAUCUCAUAUUUUAGUU